UUCCGGUUGAUCCUGCCGGAGGUUGCUGCUAUGAGGGUUCGACUAAGCCAUGCAAGUCUGAUAGCAAUAUCGGCAGAAUGCUCAGUAACACGUCGUUGACCUUACCUAUGGUCAUCGAUAACCUCGGGAAACUGAGGGUAAACGAUGAUAGAAGAAUUCUCCUGGAAUGGUGUUUCUUUGAAACUCGUGCCAUAGGAUGGGGCGGCGGCUGAUUAGGUAGUUGGUGGUGUAAUGGACCACCAAGCCAAUGAUCGGUACGGGCCUUGAGAGAGGUAGCCCGGAGAGGGACACUGAGAAACUGGUCCCAGCCCUACGGGGUGCAGCAGGCGCGGAACCUUUACAAUGCACGCAAGUGUGAUAAGGGAACCCUCAGUGCUCAUGUUUUACAUGGGCUUUUGCCAAGCGUAAAUAGUUUGGCGAAUAAGUGGUGGGUAAGACUAGUGCCAGCCGCCGCGGUAACACCAGCGCCACGAGUGGCAACCACGUUUAUUGGGCCUAAAGCGUCCGUAGCCGGUUUGGUAAAUCUCUUGUGAAAUCGUCAGGCUUAACUUGACGGCGCGCUCGAGACACUGCCUUACUUGAGACCGGGAGGAGUCAGAGGUAUUUCUGAGGGAGCGGUAAAAUGUGAUAAUCUCAGGAGGAUCACCUAUGGCGAAGGCAUCUGACCAGAACGGAUCUGACGGUGAGGGACGAAGGCUAGGGGAGCGAUCCGGAUUAGAUACCCGAGUAGUCCUAGCAGUAAACGCUGCGAGCAAGAUGUUGCACUUCUUAAGAGGAUGUGCAGUGUCGAAGAGAAGUCAUUAAGCUCGCCGCCUGGGAAGUACGGUCGCAAGACUGAAACUUUAAGGAAUUGGCGGGGGAGCACCACCAGGGGUGCGGCGUGCGGUUUAAUCUAACUCCACACAGGGAACCUUACUAGAAGCGACGGCAGGAAGAAAGUCAUGCUGAAGACAUUACUUGACGAGCCGAGAGGUAGUGCAUGGCCGCCGUCAGCUCGUGUCGUAAGAUGUCCAGUUAAGUCUGGCAACGAGCGAGACCCA
rnacentral:rRNA from 1 species